GAAAUGCGAUAAGUAAUGUGAAUUGCAGAAUUCAGUGAAUCAUCGAAUCUUUGAACGCACCUUGCGCUCCUUGGUAUUCCUUGGAGCAUGCCUGUUUGAGUAUCAUGAAAUCUUCAAAGUAAAUCUUUUGUUAACUCAAUUGGUUUCUACUUUGGUAUUGGAGGUCUUUGCAGCUUCACACCUGCUCCUCUUUGUUCAUUAGCUGGAUCUCAGUGUUAUGCUUGGUUCCACUCGGGGUGAUAAGUUAUCUAUCGCUGAGGACACUGUAAAAGGUGGCCAAGGUAAAUGCAGAUGAACCGCUUCUAAUAGUCCAUUGACUUGGACAAUACUUUUAUGAUCUGAUCUCAAAUCAGGUAGGACUACCCGCUGAACUUAAGC
rnacentral:misc_RNA from 1 species